rnacentral:misc_RNA from 1 species
AACGCACGAGACCUGCGGACCUGCGGAAGGAUCAUUACAGGACUCGCAAGACUCCUACAACCCUGUGAACUUAACUAUAAGCACGUUGCUUCGGCGGGUGUCUCGGCGAGGGUUCUCCCUCCCCGGGGCGCUAAGCCCGCCGGCGGCCUACUAUACUCUGUCUCUUUGCGUUGGCAUCUCGAGUACAAACAAACAAGUUAAAACUUUCAACAAUGGAUCUCUAGAUCGGAAGAGCACACG